CUACUGCUGCUGGAAAGGCCAUUACAGGCGCGGCCACUUCUGCCGGCCCGGCCCGAGAGCCCCGGCGUUGUCGCAUGUGGCUGGGAACGACACUCGCGCACCGCUGGCUGGAAUGCCCGACUCGCCUCUGCCACGCUGAUCAGGAAGGCUUCCUGGAGGAGGAGUAGCUGGACAAGGGAGAAGGAGGAGGAGGAAGAGGAGCUAAACAGCUAGCAAGAGGAAGCUUUGGGAGAGAAGAAAGCGGAAGAACUGGGGCCGGGUUUGAGGUGAAGUUUUCCCGGUCGCAACAAUGACAACAUCAAUAUUCUAUAAAGAUACGGGGCCAGCGGAGGCAGGCGCCUGGUCCCGGCAACUUCCCUGGCUCAGAAUCUGUCAGCCUCAAGCAUUCAUCGACAACCUGCUGUGUACCAGCACAGAGCUGAGAACCGCCAGGGGUGUCAGAGAUGAACCAGAGCAUCUUCAGGAAGCCGGAGUUUCAUCCUGGCCUCACAUUCUGAAAGCUCUCAAAUUCAAACAGCCUAAACCCACAUUGCGUUGUAUCUAGGGCUGGUGCUUGUGUGGUCACGGGAUGGGGGUGUUUGAAAGAAUAUUUUGGCUACCAUAAUUUGGGCAAGGGGUGAGGUAGGCUGAGCAGAGACAGGGGCAGAGGGAGGGAGGGAGAGGGUGAGUGAGAAGGAGCCAGGCCACUGACUUGACUUGGACUCCAAGUACAGGUGUGGUGGGGUGUGCCAGGGCUGGGAGAGGGAAAGAGCAGAGGGGGCAGGCCUCAAACAUCAGGAAACUUCCCUGCCAGCCAGUCCUCCCCCCAACCCCCCAUCUUUCUAGUUCCUCCAACCGUCUCUGUAGUGCCCUCGCUGCCGCCCGUGGCCUGGCCUUGCUGCACAUGCCCUAACCUCCUGGCUGGGAGAUUAGGACUCUGGUGGGCUCUACAGAGUUCUCCAUCUCUUGCCAAGGUGGCCCCUUCAAGGUUGAGAGGCUAUGGGGGCCCAUGUGGUAGCCCCAGCUGAGCUGAGUCCCCAGUCCUCAGGGGCCUUGCUAUUUCCUAGGGAGAUGCCUUCUUACUGGCAGGGUUCUGUGCUCAGGUGGGAAAUCCGGGCAGAUUGGGGGCUUCCUCUACCUCCCCCGCCCACCCAUACUAACUCCCUAAAGACUCUGCUGGGGGUGGAGGGCCAUGUGUGGUUAUCCCUGGAGAGCUCCUGCAUAUACGUGGGUUGGAAUGUGUGUUUGUGCAUGCAUUCACACAUGUUUGCCUAUGUGAUGACAUGUCUCCAAAUGCUUUGUGUACAUCUGAAUGUGGAAAGGGAGCCGUAUUUACUGAGCACCUACUGUGUGCCUGGCCCUUUGUGUAUGUUAUCUUCUAACAGUCCAAGGAGGUGGAGCUGUCUCCCACUUUACAGCUGAAAAUGCUGAGAUGACCAACCUCCACUACGUGCCCCCUACCCACCCUGUGCCCCCAGUCAUCUUGGCCUCUGUUCUUCCAGGAUGCCACAGCUUACAAGUCACAUCCUCUGAGUGGGAUCACCUGUCUGCUGUCCCUGGAGUGAGGAUCCCAUCCUUGGGUCAUCCUGGCCCCUUCCAGCUCCCCCACCAGACUGAAGCCCCCUCCCUCUCACUGAAGCCUUCUCUCCGUGGGCACCAGCCUCCUCCGAUGGGCAGACCCAAUAGCUGUCUUUGGUCCUUUGGCCCUGGCCUCUCUAGGGUGACAGCAGUUACCUUGUGGACUGCCCUCUGUAAACUCCUCUGCGCCCUCUCCUGGUCCUUCUUCCUGACUGUCCCUUCCCAGCACCCUUGCCCCCUUGGUGAGACUCCUCAGCCCACCCUGGGCUUCCGUUCACAUUCCUCAUCCCUCUGUCUCUCCAGACCACCCCCUGUGCAUUAGCAUUCUCCUGCAUGCUGGGAACACGGGCCCAAGCUCCUCCAGGCUCCAAGCUUGAGGUCCAACUCUCACGAACCACCUCUAGCUGGCCGCCCACAGGCCCCUCAGAGUCCGAGUGUCCAGAACGGGCUCAGCAUCUCCCCCUCAUCCCUAUAGCCUGCUCCCCUGUAAUGGCCUCUGUCUCAGUGCCUCGACCCCAGCAGGAUUCCACGGGCACACCGGGGCUGGUCCAUGCCACUUGACCUUUGCACAUGCUGGUCCCUCUGCCCGGAAUGCCCUUUACCCCCUUGUCCAUUUGGAAAAUAUCCACAUGUUCUUCGAAAUCUUUCGUGAAUUUUCUUCCUUCACCCUUGCCCCCUGCACCCCUGCGUGUGCACACACACGUAGUCACUCUUGAAUCUUCCAGGCCUUGCGCUGACUUGUAGCCUGGACUUGCAGUGUGAUUAUAGACUGGCAGGGCUGUGACAUUGGACAAGUCCUUUCACCUCUCUUAGCCUCAGCUUCUCACUAUAAAUUGGACGUUAACAUACUAGACUCACAAGUUUGGUGAAAAAUAGCAGAACUGGGACCCAGAAGUUGCCUGCUAAGUGGUAGAUGUGCUCAAUGUUGAUUACACCUGUAUUUCCAGCAUGGGUGACAGUCCCUCACACACAGUAGGUCUUCAACUACUGUGUAUCCAGCUGAAUUCAGUUGGCCACAUACUCUUUGUGGCCCUAAAAAAGGAAACCUAGUUGGGGGGAGUGAGAGGCCAGCUCCGUCUGGUAAAUAUCCUCUUGCUCCCGUCCCCUCCCCCACCGCGGGAUCCUGUUGGGACAAACGUGUUGGCUCAGUGGCUUGAAAAGGAAAGUCAGAAUUCUGAGGCAUGAAUCGCUGUGCCCACUGACUC